rnacentral:rRNA from 1 species
AGAGCGAACGCUGGCGGCAGGCCUAAUACAUGCAAGUCGAACGGAUCCUUCGGGAUUAGUGGCGGACGGGUGAGUAACACGUGGGAACGUACCCUUUGGUUCGGAACAACUCAGGGAAACUUGAGCUAAUACCGAAUGUGCCCUUCGGGGAAAAGAUUUAUCGCCAUUGGAGCGGCCCGCGUCUGAUUAGCUAGUUGGUAGGGUAAAGGCCUACCAAGGCUACGAUCAGUAGCUGGUCUGAGAGGAUGAUCAGCCACACUGGGACUGAGACACGGCCCAGACUCCUACGGGAGGCAGCAGUAGGGAAUCUUGCGCAAUGGGCGAAAGCCUGACGCAGCCAUGCCGCGUGAAUGAUGAAGGUCUUAGGAUUGUAAAAUUCUUUCAGCGGGGACGAUAAUGACGGUACCCGCAGAAGAAGCCCCGGCUAACUUCGCGCCAGCAGCCGC